UGGGGAAUCUUGGACAAUGGGCGCAAGCCUGAUGCAGCAACGCCGCGUGCGGGAAGAAGGCCCUAGGGUUGUAAACCGCUUUCAGCAGGGAAGAAAAUGACGGUACCUGCAGAAGAAGGUGCGGCCAACUACGUGCCAGCAGCCGCGGUGACACGUAGGCACCAAGCGUUGUCCGGAUUUAUUGGGCGUAAAGAGCUCGUAGGCGGUUCAGUAAGUCGGGUGAUGAAACUCUGGGCUCAACCCAGAGAGGCCACCCGAUACUGCUGUGACUUGAGUACGGUAGGGGAGCGGGGAAUUCCUGGUGUAGCGGUGAAAUGCGCAGAUAUCAGGAGGAACACCAGUGGCGAAGGCGCCGCUCUGGGCCGUAACUGACGCUGAGGAGCGAAAGCAUGGGUAGCAAACAGGAUUAGAUACCCUGGUAGUCCACACCGUAAACGAUGAAUGCCAGUCGUCGGGUAGCAUGCUAUUCGGUGACACACCUAACGGAUUAAGCAUUCCGCCUGGGGAGUACGGUCGCAGAUUAAAA
rnacentral:rRNA from 1 species